UACAGGGGGUGCAAACGUUGCUCGGAAUCAUUGGGCGUAAAGCGCACGUAGGCGGUUCGUUAUGUCGGAUGUGAAAGCCCUUGGCUUAACCGAGGAAGUGCAUCCGAAACUGGCGAGCUAGAGUACUAAAGAGGAUCGCGGAAUUCCCGGUGUAGAGGUGAAAUUCGUAGAUAUCGGGAGGAACACCGGUGGCGAAGGCGGCGAUCUGGGUAGAUACUGACGCUGAGACGCGAAAAGCGUGGGGAGCAAACAGG
rnacentral:rRNA from 1 species